rnacentral:lncRNA from 1 species
UUUUUCAAAAGUUCUGAUGUGUAUAUAGCAAAUAGAAUUGGUAAAUUAGUAUGUUUCAUUAGUAAUUUGAGUGAAACUAUGCUAUGUUGCCCAGCAAUGGUGCCUGACUUCAAUCUCAGCACUCAGGAGGCAGAGGCAGGUAGAUCUCUGAAUUUAAGAGCCAACAAAUCGAAUUCCAGAAUAGCCAGAAAGGUUUUCUACACAAAGAAAACCUGUCUCCAAACAAAACAAAAAAAAAAAAAAGAAAGGAAGAGAGAAAGAAAAUGUGCUAUGUUGAAAUUCACUUGCUUGAUAUAUAUUCAUUCAUCAACUUUUCUCCUUUUUUUAAGUUAGAGAAAUUCUUAUGUUGUAUUUUGGUCGUAUUUCCCAGACUCCACUCCAUUCUCUCUGGUUCUGUUGAAGAUAGCGUUUCCCAGAGCCCAGGUGGCCUCCGACUUGGUUUAUCGAGACAGGGUUUCUCUGUGUAGCUCUGGCUGUCCUGGAACUCACUCUAUAGACCAGACUGGCCUCACACUAAGAGAUCUGCCUGCCUCUGCCUCCCAAGUGAUAAAAGUAAAGGCCUAACCCAAAGUAUCAUUUCUUAACCCUUUCUUUAUGAGGUUAGAAAAUGAAUGAAAAAUAAACACAGGGCUCAUAAUGUGUAUGUUCCUUGUCCCAAGUCUUUAGGGGGCUCAAGCAGAAAGAUCACAAGUCCAAGGCCAGCCUAGACAACCAGAUCCUAUCUUAAAAUCAUGGGGCUGGGGGAUGCUUAGAGACUAGUUAAUAAAAUGCUUGUCUACCACAAACACGGGGCUUGGGGUUUGAUCAUCUCAUAAAAUUAGGGGUGGUGACAUGGUAACGUGAUGACAUGGUGACACAUUCCUAGAAUCUCAGCACUGGGAGUAGAGGCAGCAGCAAGAGAAAUUCAAGAUCAUCUUCAGCUUGAAAGCAAGUGUGGACCUGGCCUGGACCCUGUCUUAACAAAAAGAAUGGAGUGGGGUAGCUCACUGAUACAGUGUUGCUUAGUGCUUCGAGGCCAUGGUGUCAGUCCUUUGUACCAAAAGGAAAUAAAUACACACACAAAGAGAUGCAUGAAGGAACACAAGCUGACGGUGCAGGAUAUCUGUCUUCCUGGCCUGACUUAUGAGUUUCAAAGACGCAAAGAACACUUCUGAACUUUAUUAUGAAUAUAAAAUGAGAGAGUUUUUUCCUUGUUUGGAGUUAUUGGCACGUGUCAUCUGGAGCUCAAGUGCAUCCUUGGCCUCCAGAUGACCCUUCCUAAAACUCCAACACUUUGUAGAACACGAAAAUUCAAAAUAUAACAUCUUUUUGUUCAGUGAUGGGACCAAACACAGAGCUUUAUAUAAGAUGUGUGUGUGUGUGUGUGUGUGUGUGUGUGUGUGUGUGUGUGUGUGUGCGCGCGCGCGCGCGUGUGCCUUUAAUCCCAGCACUUGGGAGGCAGAGGCAGGCAGAUUUCUGAGUUCGAGGCCAGCCUGGUCUACAAAGUGAGUUCCAGGACAGCCAGGGCUAUACAGAGAAACCCUGUCUUGAAAAAACAAACAAACAAACAAACAAACAAACAAAAAGAUGUUUGUGUAUGUAUGUGUAUCCCAUGAGGUGUAUCCCUAGCAGCCUGACAAGUCUAUACAGGGCCUACUUAGGCUAGGGUGGUCUAGAACUUGCUAUGUAGACUAGCAUGGUCAUGAAUUCUUGAUCUUCCUGCCUCUCUCUUCAUAGUGCUGGAAUGACAGGCCUGUGCUUCUAUGCCAGGUUUUACAUUUUGCUUUUAAUUUGUGUACAGUAAAAUUCUCUUUUAUGUAGUUUAACAAGUUUUGACAAAUGUUCAAUGUAUAAUGAUCACCAUCUAGGUACAGCAUAGCUCUACUACUCUGUAAUAUGUAACACUCCCUCUGACCAGCACUCCACCCACAUGUGACACCUGCCAGCCAGGGUUCUGUUCUCUCUCUGUCUCUCUGUCUCUCUGUCUCUGUCUCUGUCUCUGCUUCUGUCUCUCCGUGUUUUCUUCCGAGCUGGACACUGAACACAGGACCUGGUAUAUGCUAGGCAACCUUACAUUUCGCCUUUCCCAGAAUGUCAGAUAAGUAGCAUUACCUGGAAUACAUCCAGGUGAAAUUGAUUUUUUUUUCCACUCAGCCUGUAAAGUCCAUCUAAGUUAUUGCGUAUGUCAACAUUUUAUUCCUUGCUGUUGCUGAGUUGUAUCUAUUGUGUGGUCUAACAUUCCUGGCCAUUCACUAGAUGAAUAUUUUGGGUUGUGUCCAGCUUAGGGUAAUUAUGAAUGAAGUUGCUAUUAAAUAUUAUUAUAUAGGUUUUCAUGUGAGAAUAAGAUUAUGUUUCUCUUGGAUAUGGUUUUGUCUAGGGGUAGGAUUGGUGUGCUGGACAGUUUUAUGUCAACUUGACACAAGCUAAGGUUAUUUGAGAGGAGGGAACUCCAAUUAAAAAAUGCAUCCAAGCUGGGCGUGGUGGUGCACGCCUUUGAUCCCAGCACUCAGGAGGCAGAGGCAGGUGGAUUUCUGAGUUUGAGGCCAGCCUGGUCUACAGAGUGAGUUCCAGGACAGCCAGGGCUAUACAGAGAAACCCUGUUUCAAAAAACCAAAAAAAAAAAAAAAAAAGACUCACCUAAGUGGCUGGUUUUGAAGGCACGAAGAGGUCACAAAGAACAGACUGGGCACUUUGAAAGGUCAGGAGAGGUCAUUGGUAAAGAGGCAGCCUCAUUCGCAGUGGAAAGGGGAGUUUUCUUGAUCAAUUCCUACAUAACAAAUCACUGCAGACACAGGAGCAUCAUAUAGCAGCAAUCAAGCAUUUUUGCUCAUUAACCUACAGUUUGGUUAGACUGAGGAACCAGCUUGACGACUCCUCAGUUGGGGGAGGAAUCAUCUAAGCUGACACUUGUCACAAAGCUAGUGCUGGAUGGGGUCAGAGCCAAGCCCGUGCAGAGACACUGCAGGAAGGGAGGGAUAACCGUUACCACCAUGACGCCCACCGUGAAAGAGCACCAGCUUCACCGUGAAAGUAGCACUGUUCUAAGCACCUUCUGUGACUAAUCAGUUUAUCAACCACUGAUGGAAACUGCAGGUACAAUUAUAAUCCCCGUUACUGAUGGGGUGAAGAAGGCACAGGAGAUUAAAUAAUCUGCUUGUGCCAUGCAAGCAAAUGUCAAGGGCCAAGACUCAGACCCAGGCAACUGUGUGGCAGGAGCCUCCUCUACUGUCCCCAAGAGCAACAGGAUGGCUAACGGUCAGUGCCAAGGAUGAAAAAGUCAGUAACUGAGGUAAAUAGUAUUAUAAUGCAGUGAAUUUUUACAAACCCAGACUUGUUCACACCUGUUUUAUUUAGUCUUUUCUAUAACCAUGACCAGGAGUCAGACCAUUUCCCAUUCAGCUCCUCCCUGCAUGCACUGGGUGAAUCUUCUCUACACUGACCCAUAGCUCCCACUGUGUGGUGACAGAAUAUGCUAAGUGUAAGAGUUCUGGGACACUUUUGCAGAAGUGAAAAAGCAUCUUUAUGACGUAGCUCUGGAACCACCCAACAUCCCUCUGCUGUAUUCUGUUGGUCAAGGUGUUCCAAGUCCACCCAGAUUCAAGGAGAAGGAUCCAGAGGUGAGCAUUUGAUACACACCAGAGUUGGAGAGUAACGUCACAUCAAAAGAACAGCGUGUGGGAUGCUGUGUGAGCCUUCUUUGAAAGUAUGCCCCACUACAGAGAGUGGGUGCUAAGUUGAUAGAAAGUAAGCUGGUGUCAAACCAGACUCAGCCUGGUAUUUGCCAUUGUGACAAGUGCUAGUCAAAAAUUAUUUUAUAGGGGAUGAUUUGUCACCUCUUCAUGAAUCACUGUAUCAAGCACUACACUUGAUUUGUGCCAUCUCCUUAAUAGGCCAGAGAUCUGGAUGUGGGUCUGCUUGUAAGUAUCUGACAGUGUUAGGGCUGUGCCACCUUUAAGCUCAAUAGACAUCUGUACCUACAGCCACCCACUGUGAGUUUCCUCUGAGCAUGUCCCUUCCUACUGAGUGAGGAGUGCCUGGAGACGGGAGACUCAGUCACACAUAACUUCCAUCAUCUUUUCUCAACUGUUCCCUGGGAGUCAGGACACAGAGUUCCUGCCAAACAGAUCUCAAGCAUGUGGUGGGACUUCCCCUUGGGCCUGUUUGUAUACCCUGAAACCCAAUGACUAUUUGUUGAGUGUAGAGACUGAUAGCAAAGGCUGUGGUAGGCAUCUUGUGUCAAAUCUGCCUUCAUUACUUAAUAGUUUUGUAACUUUAAGCAAGCUACAUAGCCUGUCUGUGUCUAACUUCACUUUGGAAGUAGAGGUCAUACUGGUAUCUUACUAAUGCGAUGGAUUGUAUAUGCUUGGCCUAGGGUGGCACUAUUAGAAGGUGUAGCCCUGUUGGAGUAGGUGUGACCUUGUUGGAGUAGAUGUGUCACUGUGGUUGUGGUAAAUAAGACCCUCAUCCUAGCUGCCUGGAAGCCAGUAUUCUGCUAGCAGCCCUCAGAUGAAGAUAUAGAUCUCUCAACUCCUCCUGCACCAUGCCUGCCUGGAUGCUGAUAUGUUCCCACCUUGAUGAUGGACUGAACCUUUGAACUUGUAAGCCAGUCCCAAUUAAAUGUUGUUCUUAUAAGAGCUGCCUUGGUCAUGGUGUCUGUUCACAGCAGUAAAACCCUAACUAAGACAACUGAAUACAAUUUGUUUAAGGUUUAAAUAAUAUACUUUUCAUAUGCAUUUGGCUUAGUGCCCGUUCCUCGUAAAUACUGGUUUUUACUGUUCUAUAACAAAUGCUCAAUAAAUAUUCACUUCUUCACUUUCCUAAUGACCACAGAAGGAGAAGCAGAUGUUCUCCUGGGUGGUCGACACAAGCCAGCAUUAAGUUGUAAGAUUCCCCUGUUGCUGUCUGAGUAAGUCUCAGUCAACCAUGAGCAUUCAUUUUGUAAUCCAAUAAUUAAUCUCAGGCAUCAACUAUUAAACCAAAUAGAAUUAAGCUUGCAGCUCAGUAGUGGCCUGCUUACCUAUGCCUAUCAUACAGUAUGGCCUUGGCUUUGCUCUCCCAGCACUGCCAAAAAUAUUCUACCAAAGAUUCAAAACAAAGCAAGCAAACACGUAAUAAACAUUUGGGUGAUAUAGAAUUGUAUAAAGAUUUAGCAGUAGUGAAACAUUACAGGCUGGAAAUGUAGCUCAGUAGGUAGGGAGCCCUGGCACUUAAACCAGGAGUGGUAGCAUAGAUGCCUGUAAUACCAGCAUUUUUGAGGUGGAGGCAGGAGGAUCAAAAGUUUAAAGUCAAGGUAGAAGAGGCCACUCAGUGGUCAAGAGCACUGGAUGCUCUUCCAGAGGACCCAGGUUCAAUUCCCAGCACCCCACCGGCAGCUCACCACUCUCUUUAACUCCAGUUCUAGGGAUCCCACACCCUCACAUAGACACAAGUGCAGGAAUAUUUAAAAUAAUUUAAAGUCAGCCUUGGGAACACAGAGUUCCCAAGUAUAUCAGCCUGGAAUACAAGAGAGCUUGUCUUCAAAAUAAUAGACAGACAGAUAGAUAGAUAGAUAGAUAGAUAGAUAGAUAGAUAGAUAGAUAGAUAGAUAGAUAGAUGCACAUGUUUAUGUUGUGAAAAAAAAUAAUUUUUGCUUGAAUCUCCUGAUUCUUACAUUUUGGUUAGCCAAUUGUCAUUCACUAUACUACAAGUUUUAAAACAAUAUUAUUGUGUUAUUUUAUUUUAUUUUAUUUUAUUUUAUUUUAUUUUAUUUUAUUUUGGUGUUUUGAGACAAGGUUUCUCUGUGUAGCUCUGGCUGUCUUAGAACUCACUCUGUAGACCAGGUUGGACUUGAACUCAAGGAUCUGUCUGCCUCUACCUCCCAAGUUCUGAGACUAAAGUCAUGCACCACCACAGCCACCUUCCUGUGCUUUUCAAGUUGAAGGAUUUAUGGAAGAAUGCUCUCAAGUUUUUGUAUGGGAGGAGUAAACUACUCCAAUUUCAACCUCUACAAUCCUCUAGUUCAGUGGUUCUUAACUUUUCUAAUAUUGCAACCCUUUAAUACAGUUCCUCAUGUCAUGGUGACCCACCCCCCCCCCCAUCUAUAAGAAUUAUUUCAUUGCUACUUCAUAAUUGUAAUUUUGCUACCGUUAUGAAUCACAAGGUAAUAUCUGACAUUUCCGGUGAUCUUAGGUGACCCCUGUGAAAGGGGAAGUCAGUCCCUAAGGGGUCACAACCCACAGGCUGAGAACCAUUGCUUUAGACUGUGCUUUUGAAAUAAACAUGUAUUGUAAAGCUGAGUGUGGUGGUGCAUAGUUUCAAUCCCAGCCCUCAGGAGGCAGAAGCAGAUAGAUCUCCCUGAAUUCAAGACCAGCCUGGUCUACAGAGUGAGAUCUUGUCUCGAAACAAAACAACAAAAUGGAAGAACAGUGUGUAAUUAUCGAAUAUAGGUAAGUCUUUGAAAGAGUGGAGAGGCGGAUCAUUCCCGGGAGUACCACUGUUCCAUCAAAGGCUGCUUUUUACUCAUCCAUAUCUGACGUCCACAACGUGGGAAACUCAAGGCGAUAAACACAAUAGGGACUUUUGACCUGUGGUAUACAAUUUCCAGUUAAGCUUUAUUAUAUUUUGCUAAUUCUUGUUUGUUUCCUUUUUAAUGUUGCCUGCUUGCCUGGGGGUUAUAACUGAGUGAGUGAUAAACCCUGAGCUCAACUUCUAAAACGAAACCUAGGGCAGAAGACCACUUUGUGGAGAGGUUGUUCUCUCUUCUGCCAGGUUCUCAGCCUGACUGAACUCAGGCUGGCUGUCAGCUUGCAUGGUGGGGCCCUGUAAGCAUCCAUCGAGUACCCAUGGAGCCAUCUGAUUAGCCCCAGGUAGUUUUUCUUUGUUUUGUUUUAUUUUUAAUGUGUAUGAGAGUUUUGCCUCCAUGUAUACCCACUCAUCAAGUAUAUGUCUCCUGCCCUUGGAGGUCAGGGGUGGGCAUUGGAAAACCUGGAACUGGAUUUACAAGUGGUUGUGAGUGCUGUACGGAUGCAGGGAAAGUGCUGUACGGAUGCAGGGAAAGGAACGGGGUCCCCUGGAUGAGCUGAACUUCUGUGUCAUCUCUCCACACACCCCCCCUCCCCCCAGCUAUCUUUUCAUAACAAUGCUUUGGAAGAUGUUUUCAAUUCAGAACUUUUACGAUGCUAAUAAGGGAAUUAAUAGGGAAUAACAAAGCCAUAAUAGAGUGGGGUUUGGUCACAAAGUUCUGUGCUUUUUCAUUAGCAAGACUCAAAUUCCAUAUUGUUAUUUCCCAGCAAUGCCUUUGCGGAGGUUUCUAAAAUUUCUUGUCUUAGGGCCAUUAUCAUUUAUUAUUAUUUUUAUGUCAGUCUUUUUUUUUUCUCCCCUCAGUGUUAGGAAUAGUUUGCAUCAUGAUGCAAACUAUGUCAGUAUGUUACCACUUAGCUACGUCAUCAGCCGUAUUCGCUAAUCCUAUUUGUAUCCACGUGCUUACAUUUAAAGUAUGGGGUUAUCCCUCCAUUUCUGGGGUGUUUUACUGCUGUCAAUGUUCUAUGAAAAAUCUUCCGUUAUAUAUCUGCUUGCCAAACUAACAAUAAAUGUGAGUCUAACCAGCCUCUUCAUAAAUUUUAUUUAUUUAUUUGCUACGCUGAGGAUUGAACCUGGGAUUUCUCAUAGUCUUUUGUCUUGAACAUAGAUGUACUUGGCCUUGGUGACUGUUAAGCUAAGGUUGGGGUUGAGAGUGAGUAUAUAGGGUUGUAGUUGUUUUUUAUUUGGUUUGGUUUGUUUUGUUUUUUUAAGACACAGUUUCUCCGUGUAGCCCUGGCUGGUCUGGAACUAGCUCUGUAGUCCAGGGAGUCCUCGAACCCAGAAAUGCUCUUGUCUUUGCCGCCUGAAUGCUGGAGUUAAAGGUGUGAGUCACCACUGCCUGGCUUAGAUGCUCUAAACUAUUGCUUUGUGGAUCAUUUCAGGAUUGUUUUAAGGCUGCAAACUGAACUGUCUGGGUUAAGGUUCAGACUAGUAGCUCCUCUUCUGUGAGAGAGUACUGGAAACGGCUCCUUUAGGACAGGGCUGGAGGGACAGAAGAGUGUCCCAGCCAGCCCUGGAGGGGGGCUUGUCAUGGUCCUGUGCAUGGCAUCGCAUAGCAGGAAGAAAGUUGGAGUGGUUCUCUGACCUAGCUUACUGGAACUUCUUUUUCCUUUUAAUGAAUUUAAGCAAACAUUCUUUGAUUUUACCUGAGCAGAAUUGAAAGGUUUAAAUUUUUCUUAGGAUCUUUUUUUUUUUUUUUUAAUUAACAUAGAAAGUAAUGAGUUUUCUUUUGGCAUUUUCCAAAAUUACUUUGUUUUUCUUGAUUUGCCCUUGCAAACAGUUUUGUUUGUUUGUUUGUUGUUUUUUGUUUGUUUUCGUGUCUUUUAUUUUUUGUUUUGUUUUGUUUUUUAAACGUUUUUUUCCUUCAGUGAGGUCCUGAGAAUUGAAUACCUGGCCUCAUGGUGCAAUGCAAGUCCUCGCCCUGAAAUACAUUUCUAGUUGUUCUUUGAAUCUCUAUUUUGAGACACUGUCUUACUAAUGUGCCCAGGCUUGAACUAACACCAUAGCCCUCGGACCUUCUUCCCUCCCCACCCCCACCUCUGUCUUCUCUCUGUCGGGGGACAGAGAGAUCUGAGGAAUUGAAUGCUAAGGGCAGUAUGGAAGAGUGGCCGCAUAAAGCAGUGGGGAAGGGGGAUAUGUGAAUCACCCACCCUCACAAAGUUCUACCUAGCCUUUUCAAAAAGCCAUUAAAAGAUUAAAAUAAAACCCGUAUGCUUCACUAAAGAAGAAGUAAAUCUCCGGGUCUCUUCCACAGCAUCUUACCCACAAGCUGUUCAUCUCCAGCUUCCCUAUAUAAUGGAUGGCCUGCUGCCAGGCACUUGGCAUUCAAAGGCAGACUCCUGGAAAUGCAAUUUUUUCAAACCCAUUAACCUUUAUUCAACUCUUAUGAGGAAGAAUCGUCAUUUUUCUUCUGCGGUGUACGAUCCAGUAUUAGCUGGAUUUGACUGACCUUUCACCCCAAGUUUGUCCUAAGAUGGGCUCAUAAAACCGAUAUCUUUUUGGAGGCAUUAUGGAAACUGAGUUUCUCUUUUGCUGUUCAUCUCGUCAGACAACUUCUCCCUUAUUCAUCUGGGUAUUGAACAUGCUGCGUACAGCCCUUUCUGGAAAUGGCUUCCUGGUGAGAGCAUUUUGCUGCACCCACGGAGCGACCAUGACUUGAGGGGAGAUAGUGAAUGCACAGACCUGCGGUAUUACCUCUCACUGUGAACUUGAUCCAGGCCCAGGGACUGGCUUGUAGUUCCUGCACCCUAAAAGUAAAGGGAGAGGAUGCUUGGAAUCCACAAGCCCCGUGUCUGUCCGGGCAACACAGUGGCAAGAUGACGUCUCAAACCUAGCAAAGUGGUGGAACCGGAGAGCUGGCUCAGCAGUUAUGAACACUCGCGGUUCUUUCAGAGUAUGGUUCCCAAAGCCCAUGUCUGUCUCAUACAGCUCGUUAUUCUAGCUCCAGGGGAUGUGAUAUCCCUCUUCCGGCAUCUAGCGCAACCCCAUACACAUGCCAUACACAGACAGAUACACACACAUACACACACAUAGAGAAAUACAAGUAGAGUAAAUCCUUAUUAAAACUGAGUAUAAGCACGUACAUCUUGAACAUCAUAUGCACUAAUCACGGCCACGAUGCUCACUGUGCCGCGUGCUCUUCUCCUUCGUAUGCUGCGCCUUGGCUCAGCAGCCCUUUCCUUUCUGCCCUCAUUCGUUGCGCUUCUUUGCUUAUAGAGAUUGGGCCGAAGCUCUACCGCCAGCAAGAUUAAACCAACUCAUUUGUUGUGGCAAGAGGGAUGCUUUGCCUGAACAUUUUGCAAGCAUCCUACAUCCUUCUAGGCUUUUUAGCAAUUUUGAUUUUGUGAACCCUUUUUAUUUCCGGAAGCUGUUCCCACUGAGGCUGGAGAGCACCAUUCAUAGACUCAGACGAGAUCGAUGGGAGUUCAGGACGGUACGGCUGUAGACUCCAUUCAUCAUGCGUCAAUUAUAUCCACUCCGGAUGCUCGAACUUCCUUAGCUGGCUUGUAUCUGAACCUCUGUGGCUAGCUCUUCAAGUCUACUAUCUCCUCACUCUCAGGCAUGAUAAUGAUCACAGGUCAGAGAUAAAGAGGCCAAUGGUGGUGGGGCAUGCCUGGAAUCCUAGCACUUGGGAGGCUGAUCCACUAGGAUUGCCAGCAGUUCAAAUCCUGUCUGAACAAGAUUCUGGCCGGGCGUGGUGGCACACCCCUUUAAUCCCAGCACUCAGGAGGCUGAGGCAGGAGGAUUUCUGAGUUCGAGGCUAGCCUGGUCUACAAAGUGAGUUCCAGGACAGCCAGGGCUAUAAAGAAAAACCCUGUCUCAAAAAACAAAAAAAAAACAAAAUCAAGAGUCUGGCUAAAAAGCAAAGCAAGGACUAGGUGGCUAGUUUGGUGGCACAUACUUUUAAUCUCAGCACGCAGAGAUAGGUGGAUUUCUGCGUUCAAGGCCAGCCUGGUCUACAGAGCAAGUUUUGAGUUUCUUCUCAGAAACAAAACAAAACAAACAAAAAACAAUCAACCAACCAUCGACAAAUACAAUAUUUUGUAUUUAUCAAUGCAAAACAAAAUAGAACUAGGAGAGUCAGGCCUGGCUAUUCAUACUGUCAUCCCAGCUCUUAAGAAAGCAGUAGAUUGAUCUUACAUUUGAGGACAGCCUAGGCUCCAGGGUAAGAUCCUAUUUCAAAAAAAGUAAUAAGGCUUGGUGAUGUUGCUCACCAUUAGACCACUUGUCUUGUUUGUGCAUGGCCCUGGACUUGAUCCCCAGCAAGGGAGAAAGAAAGAAGGAAGGAAGAAAGAAGAGACUCAGAUUUAGCAGAUUUCUCACGAUCAAAGAAAAGUAAACGGCAGAAUAGGGGAUCCACACCCACACGUGUUAGACAUGGAAGCCUGCACCCUGAAAUAGCACAUGGGACGCCACCACCGUAUGGUAGCUGUCAUGCUGAAGCCUGGAAACACAGAUGCAAAUACUCUCAACAGUGGGAACUCCAACUGUAGGAUACAGUGCGAGCGUCUCCGUGGUGUUUUAUGAUCCGAUACAAGGGGGGCCUUUGUUUGCUUGAUGAAUUCAGAAGUGACCAAGAGAAUGGAGCCUAAAGACCACUAAGGGCUGGAAGCACGAUUAAGACCAGGGGAGGAACUUGUCAAAGAACGGUUGUAGAGGAGGGGACAGAGCAUAAGGAGUGUGUUUGUCACCACGACUGGUUCAUGCGUUUCCUACCAGUGUUUCUCCUGGCACUUUGUCACUCACCCCCAUUACCACUGUUAAUGUCUCUCACGAUUCUGCUUUUUAUCUUAGAUUUUCCUCUCAUGUGUUUUUAUACUUUUCCUCAGAACAGUCAGUCACUCGUCCCUGCAGCUUCUAUUAUCACGAUAGGUUGCUGCUGUCCCUUCAGUGGAACACCCUCUUUUUGCUCCAGGUUUUGUCUGCAUGCUUACCCACCAGGUCCUGCAGACUGGACUCGGCUCCAUAGUUCUCUUUCUCUGCAGUCCCCUCCAGCUGUCCUCUUUGCUCCCUAUCUUGUGUGGUCCUCUCCCUGCAGUCCUCUUUCUGAGCAGGAACCCUUGAACUACCUUUAAUUUCUCUCUCACUUCCUCUCACUGUCACUGCCCAGGUUCAGGCCUACAUUGUGCCGUUUCCAGCUAGAUUGUAAUAUUUCCCAACUGAGUUCACUCUACUUAGUGUACCUGUUUACAAGCCUUCCUCUAUACCCUGGGGUCUUAUCGUGUCAUUCUUGUUUAAUGAAAUCAGAUGUGUGUUUCCUUAAUUGCUCUGUUGGGUGCUGAGAACAGAAAACUUCUACACCGGGUGCCUAAAGUGACGGAUGAUGACAAGUGCUCAGUGAGCAGUUUAAGUUUUCAAAUUGAUAAUACAGUCACCUCUGCGGACUGCACAGAAAACACAGAGUUGAUUUUAUAGUGUACUUAUGAGAACAAAGGUAUUUCCAAGCACUUGAUUUGUGGACCACAGCAUUCAAGUCACCUAAAGAUUGUGUUGACAAAUUAUAAAGCUAUUGUGCAGGGAAGAACUUGUCCUUGGUAGAGGACAGAGGAUAUCACUAUUAUUUUUAAUGUAUUUAUUUUAAUGUGCUACAGGGUAUGUCGGUAUUUAGGAACUGCUCCCACCCAGGUUGCCUCUGCUAGUAUCUACUGGCUCCCUCUAUUCACUUCCUGCUUCUGAGAAAGCAGGAGCCCAUAGACCAAGGCCAAUCUCUGGUGUGGGAACAUAAAAAUAUAAGAGGGAGGAAAGAUGCUAAGGAGAGGGUGGGACUGAAGACGGAAAACCACUUAGAACUCCAGCAGUGUGUCAUUGUCAUAAAGAUGAUAGCUCACGCUUGAAAUCCAAGCACUCUGGAGAAUUGGAUAUUCAAGGACAUUCUUAGCUACAUAGCACAUUUGAAGCCAUCCUGAGCUACACACAGAGAGAUACCAUCUCAAAUAUUAGAGGGACGAGCAGCAUGCUCUAGCACUGAGCUGCACCCGGAACCAGGGAAAAAGAGCUUGGGACCAUCAGUCCAGUCCUUGCUUCUUUGGGAGUCACUGCAAGAAGACAGAUGCUUGGAAGGGAGACAGCAUUCUUGUGACAUAGCUAUCAGCUAAGGGUUGCAAUGUAGCAGAAAUAGAGAUGCUCACAUCACUGAGGACCCCAGAGAGCUCUACUGAAUCAACUCUCCCAGGCAUAACAACCUCUGAACCCCCUUUUUUCAUAACGUGGGAAAGUUCUAAACUUUACGGCCAGUUAGUGGAAACUUUGAAUACUGUGUGUAUGUGCGUAUACAAGCAUGCACCAUGCACUUGUGUGUAUGCAUCUGCAGGUCUGUGUUUUAAUUAACAGAGAGAUACGAGUUGCUGUCAUACAGUUAGGAGGUAGAAACAAGGAUAAACCACUAUAUUGUGGUCUUUGCCAGAGCUAACCCUGUCAGCCUGGAGGCAAUUUAGAGUAUUGUACUAAAUCCUGAAGCUCUUUGGAAAGGCUCAAAUGGUGUGACUGUAGAACCAGAAAAUGUAAUACAGUGAAACGUUUUAUGAGUUGACUUGUACGUAUUCAAUCUGCAAGGGCUAACAACUGGUGUUUGAUGGAGAGGCAUAGGUAUGGAAAACUCCCUUCCUCCUCUUCUUGCCCCCUUUCCAGGAGAAAAGCCCUACCUCAGAGAUCAGUGUAGAGACACUGGGCUUGGAUGGACACAAUCCCAGGUGACUUGCUAAGCCAAAGCCAUGCUUUUGACAUCUUUCCUGUUAAUGCUUGCAGUGUUGCGGUGUCAUUCCCACCACACCCGCCUCCAAUCAUCCUGUGAUUGUGACCCAAUCAGCAUGAGCUAUGGUUUCUGGCUUAUGUGUUGCUGGAGACUAAAGUCACAGCUUCCUGUAUACUAGGAACCCUGCCAAGUGAGUUGCGCUCCCAGCCCCCAGCCCCCAGCAGAUGCUUUCCUGUGCGAGAGACCCUGGGUUCACUCUUGCUCAAAGGUCUUUCUUUGGGGCAGAGAGAAGGGUUAGAGGGUAAAGGUGCUUUUGCACAAGGCUGGCAAUCCGAGUUAACUCUCUGGAGUCUACAUAGAAACGGAGAAAGCAGCCAGGCGGUGGUAAUGUAUGCCUUUGACCCCAGCACUUUGGAGGCAGAGGCAAUCGAAUUUCUUUGAAUUCAAGGCUAACCUGCUCUACAGAGUGAGUUCCAGGACAUCCAGAGAAACCCUGUGUCAACUCCCACUCCUCUAAAACAGUGGAAAAGAAAACCAGCUCUAGCCGGGCGUGGUGGCGCACGCCUUUAAUCCCAGCACUUGGGAGGCAGAGGCAGGUGGAUUUCUGAGUUCGAGGCCAGCCU